AUUGAACGCUGGCGGCAGGCCUAACACAUGCAAGUCGAACGAGUGGCGGACGGGUGAGUAAUGUCUGGGAAACUGCCUGAUGGAGGGGGAUAACUACUGGAAACGGUAGCUAAUACCGCAUACCAUCGGAUGUGCCCAGAUGGGAUUAGCUAGUGGGUGGGGUAACGGCUCACCUAGGCGACGAUCCCUAGCUGGUCGGAGAGGAUGACCGGCCACACGGGAACUGAGACACGGUCCAGACCCCAACGGAGGGCAGCAGUGGGGAAUGUUGCACAAUGGGCGCAAGCCUGAUGCAGCCAGGCCGGGUGUAUGAAGAGGGCCUUCGGGUUGUAAAGUACUUUCAGCGGGGAGGCGUUACCCGCAGAAGAAGCACCGGCUAACUCCGUGCCAGCAGCCGCGGUAAUAC
rnacentral:rRNA from 1 species